UACGUAGGGUGCAAGCGUUGUCCGGAAUUAUUGGGCGUAAAGAGCUCGUAGGCGGUCCGUCGCGUCUGCUGUGAAAACUCGGGGCUUAACCCCGGGCCUGCAGUGGGUACGGGCAGACUAGAGUGCGGUAGGGGAGACUGGAAUUCCCGGUGUAGUGGUGGAAUGCGUAGAUAUCGGGAGGAACACCAGUGGCGAAGGCGGCUCUCUGGACCUCUGCUGACGCUGAGGCGCGAAAGCGUGGGGAGCGAUCCGG
rnacentral:rRNA from 1 species